GCAUCCAUAGCUCAGUCUGGUAGAGCACCUGCCUUGUAAGCAGGGGGCCGCGGGUUCAAAUCCCUCUGGGUGCA
rnacentral:tRNA from 1 species